AGGAUGAACGCUGGCGGCGUGCUUAACACAUGCAAGUCGAACGGUGAAGCCAAGCUUGCUUGGUGGAUCAGUGGCGAACGGGUGAGUAACACGUGAGCAACCUGCCCUGGACUCUGGGAUAAGCGCUGGAAACGGCGUCUAAUACUGGAUAUGAGCCUCUUCCGCAUGGUGGGGGUUGGAAAGAUUUUUUGGUCUGGGAUGGGCUCGCGGCCUAUCAGCUUGUUGGUGAGGUAAUGGCUCACCAAGGCGUCGACGGGUAGCCGGCCUGAGAGGGUGACCGGCCACACUGGGACUGAGACACGGCCCAGACUCCUACGGGAGGCAGCAGUGGGGAAUAUUGCACAAUGGGCGAAAGCCUGAUGCAGCAACGCCGCGUGAGGGAUGACGGCCUUCGGGUUGUAAAC
rnacentral:rRNA from 1 species